UACUAUACAGCUAACAAAACAAGAGAGUUAAAUCCAUUGAAGGCAAUAUGUUUGUUUUCUUCUAUGUGUCUUUUCUGGUUUUGUGCGGAGAAAUAAACAUGACUCUAGGAUCAAAGUUGGCCUGUUCAGAGAAAACUAACAUUGUCAACAAACUAAAAUUGUUCUGUAGGGGCAUUGGAGAUGGUGACAAUCCGGUGAGGCCCAGUGGUAGGUCAGUAUUCACAGCUUCUGUGAGUAAGAGGAAAUACGUGGUAAAAGGAAAUAUCGUG